GAACCAAAUAUUGACUUACCUUGGCUCAGGACGGACAGGAAUAAAUAACAGAUACCACGCAUGUGUAGGCUUUUCUAUCUCAACUGUACACUGAAAUGAGAAGACCUAUCUUCCCCCACACAACGGCAUCAUAAUGUCUCGUGCAUUUUUAACUUCCCUUUCGUGACAUUAAGGAAGGAAAACCUGUAGACUUAGAUAAGUCUUUGACUUCUCUUUGGAUCAACGAUAAAGAAAGGGUUAGCAUGAAGUUUACUCUGAACUUCCUUCCUUGGAUUUAUCUCCUUGCCUCCAAGCUGCAGACCAGAAAACUCUGAGUUUAAAAUGACCCAACAGUAAAUGAAGGGAAAUAAAGCAAUCAGAUAUUCAUGUGAAAGCAAUUUAAAAUUAGGUCUUGGUCCUUAUUGAAAUGUGUCUAGGGACUUCUGAAUGUGGACAAGAAAAUGUGUACAGAAGUCAACUUUUACCUCAGGGAGCUUUUGGCCUCAUGCUUUUGAUAAACGACUUGUGCUUCGUGAUCACUCUUACUAUUGAUUGUUUGAAUUUUUUUGCCUUCUUGUUUUUAUAUUGUGUCGCGUACUUGUAUGUCUAUCGUGUUAUGUGUCUCGUCACCGUGGGAUAGAGAAUAACGUAAUUUCGGUCUCUUUGCGUGUUGUGACGUGGAGAGAUUGACAAUAAAGCUGACUUUGACUUUGA